UACGAAGGGGGUUAGCGUUGUUCGGAAUCACUGGGCGUAAAGCGCACGUAGGCGGAUUUUUAAGUCAGGGGUGAAAUCCCGAGGCUCAACCUCGGAACUGCCUUUGAUACUGGAGAUCUUGAGUCCGGAAGAGGUAAGUGGAACUGCGAGUGUAGAGGUGAAAUUCGUAGAUAUUCGCAAGAACACCAGUGGCGAAGGCGGCUUACUGGUCCGGAACUGACGCUGAGGUGCGAAAGCGUGGGGAGCAAACAGG
rnacentral:rRNA from 1 species